rnacentral:rRNA from 1 species
GCCCAUCAGAAGGGGAUAACACUUGGAAACAGGUGCUAAUACCGUAUAACAAUCGAAACCGCAUGGUUUUGAUUUGAAAGGCGCUUUCGGGUGUCGCUGAUGGAUGGACCCGCGGUGCAUUAGCUAGUUGGUGAGGUAACGGCUCACCAAGGCCACGAUGCAUAGCCGACCUGAGAGGGUGAUCGGCCACAUUGGGACUGAGACACGGCCCAAACUCCUACGGGAGGCAGCAGUAGGGAAUCUUCGGCAAUGGACGAAAGUCUGACCGAGCAACGCCGCGUGAGUGAAGAAGGUUUUCGGAUCGUAAAACUCUGUUGUUAGAGAAGAACAAGGAUGAGAGUAACUGUUCAUCCCUUGACGGUAUCUAACCAGAAAGCCACGGCUAACUACGUGCCAGCAGCCGCGGUAAUACGUAGGUGGCAAGCGUUGUCCGGAUUUAUUGGGCGUAAAGCGAGCGCAGGCGGUUUCUUAAGUCUGAUGUGAAAGCCCCCGGCUCAACCGGGGAGGGUCAUUGGAAACUGGGAGACUUGAGUGCAGAAGAGGAGAGUGGAAUUCCAUGUGUAGCGGUGAAAUGCGUAGAUAUAUGGAGGAACACCAGUGGCGAAGCGGCUCUCUGGUCUGUAACUGACGCUGAGGCUCGAAAGCGUGGGGAGCAAACAGGAUUAGAUACCCUGGUAGUCCACGCCGUAAACGAUGAGUGCUAAGUGUUGGAGGGUUUCCGCCCUUCAGUGCUGCAGCUAACGCAUUAAGCACUCCGCCUGGGGAGUACGACCGCAAGGUUGAAACUCAAAGGAAUUGACGGGGGCCCGCACAAGCGGUGGAGCAUGUGGUUUAAUUCGAAGCAACGCGAAGAACCUUACCAGGUCUUGACAUCCUUUGACCACUCUAGAGAUAGAGCUUCCCCUUCGGGGGCAAAGUGACAGGUGGUGCAUGGUUGUCGUCAGCUCGUGUCGUGAGAUGUUGGGUUAAGUCCCGCAACGAGCGCAACCCUUAUUGUUAGUUGCCAUCAUUCAGUUGGGCACUCUAGCAAGACUGCCGGUGACAAACCGGAGGAAGGUGGGGAUGACGUCAAAUCAUCAUGCCCCUUAUGACCUGGGCUACACACGUGCUACAAUGGGAAGUACAACGAGUUGCGAAGUCGCGAGGCUAAGCUAAUCUCUUAAAGCUUCUCUCAGUUCGGAUUGCAGGCUGCAACUCGCCUGCAUGAAGCCGGAAUCGCUAGUAAUCGCGGAUCAGCACGCCGCGGUGAAUACGUUCCCG